UGGCAUAUCACUUUGACUUUUUAGUAGU
rnacentral:piRNA from 1 species